GCAUAACGCGAAGAACCUUACCAGGUCUUGACAUCCUGCUAACGAAGUAGAGAUACAUUAGGUGCCCUUCGGGGAAAGCAGAGACAGGUGGUGCAUGGUUGUCGUCAGCUCGUGUCGUGAGAUGUUGGGUUAAGUCCCGCAACGAGCGCAACCCUUACUGAUAGUUGCUACGCAAGAGCACUCUAUCGGGACUGCCGUUGACAAAACGGAGGAAGGUGGGGAUGACGUCAAAUCAUCAUGCCCCUUAUGACCUGGGCCACACACGUACUACAAUGGCCGUUAACAACGGGAAGCAAAAUGGCGACAUGGAGCAAACCCCAAACGGAACGUUCAUUCGGUAUGUCAGGCGUGCAACUACCGUCCGUCGCAUAGAAGACCGGAACGUUAGUCUAGUAAUACGCGGAGUCAGCACGCCGCGGUGAA
rnacentral:rRNA from 1 species